rnacentral:snRNA from 1 species
GUGCUUGCUUCAGCAGCACAGAUACUGAAACUGGAAUGAUACAGAAGAUUAGCAUGGCCCCUGCACAAGGAUGACAUGCAAAUUCGUCAAGCGUUCCAUUUUUUU